rnacentral:lncRNA from 1 species
AGUUAUUGGGCAGAUAUAAUAGUUGUCCUCAUCAUCACUGUCUGCAUCCAGAUAAUUUCCAGAGGUCACUUCGGUCAGUCUAGCAUUAUCAAUGCCUUCCAUGCGGAAGAUAAGGUCCUCGUCGGCCAUGUCUGCGGGAGGGCACUUUAACUCCUGCACUGAGGGAAGCAGCUGCUGUUCCAACGCACAUGCAGGCAGAGGGGAGAAGCGGGAGCCGCAGAGUCCGACGCCGCAGCGGAGCGGUCCCGGCAGCACUCGCAGCCGCCUGUGGAACGGAACGGAACGGAGCGGGGCAGGGCGGCCCUCGGUUCCCGCCCACCGCGCUGACUGAGCCGCCCCGCGGGGCUCUGAGGGCUGCGCGCUGGGCCGGCGGGAGGAGCUUCCCUUGGGCUGCGUUUUGUGUGUGUGUGCGUGAGAAAAAGGAGUCCCAAACGCAGGUUGGAAGCUGUGGAGGCUGCAGCGGAGGGCGGCCAGGCGCGCUGCACGGCGCUCGGUUGCCCCGUGAGAAACACCGGCGUUGUGCUCCGGGUUUCCAAUGCCAAACACUUCACAGCUGCUCAGCGCUCCCUCAGUGAAACACAUCCGUGGCUGAGCUCUUCUUCAAGGUACGAGCUGUGGAAAUAUUAAACAAAACCCCUCUUCCCCUCGUGGAUCACAUGGAAAUUAAUGUAAAUAGGUUCUGGGUUAAAGAAAAACGUGUAUUAAUACUAGAUUAAUACUAGACUAAAUAUGAGGUACGGGCCCACACGCAGCACCCCCUCCGUUCAGUUUCCCGCCCACAGCGAGGCGCAGCAGAGGAGCGGCGCAGCCCACACUGGCCCAGCCCGGCAGCGGCGCGCGCAGCUGCGCUGUGGGUCAGAGGUCAGAG